CCUCACCUCCCAAUUAGCCGGGACCCUCCGCAGGAGGGUGGAAUUCAUUUGGCUGACAAGAAAAACAACUUCCCGAUAGCCUGUUUGAUAACCCCUCAACACAGCUAGACGGUGUCUC
rfam:Tursiops truncatus cont1.363046, whole genome shotgun sequence.